AAGCAGAAACAAGUAUUAAAUAUAAAGGUAUAAUGCUUACUUGCUUGUCUGUAUCUUUUCUCUUUUCAACAUAGUGGGUUUUGUUUAUUAGUUGGUAAGGAAUGAAAAAUACCAUGGACAGACAGUUGGGGGUCCCAGUUGAUUCACGAGACCUCUAUAGCAGCCACAAAAAUUUUUGAUCCCUUGUGAACUUGUAAAAAAAUAGGAACAAGAGGGAGGUCAUGCAUGUGUAUGAUAAUGUAUCAAGUUUUUGCUUAUCCACACUUUUAGGUUGGUCAUGCCUCUUUUUUGUUUUUACAGUUAGGAAAUCAUCUCUGCUUUUUAACUGACGAUGGAAUUUCAAGAAAUCUCAUUCUUCAGUCAUGAAACUUUUAUUAUCUUCCAUCUUCAUUGGAUUAACAUUUGUUCCGCUCACAUGACUUUAAAAUGUGCUUUACAACUAAACAAUCUUCACUCGUUUACGCUGUUUAUUACGAAGGUAGAAAAACUGUUUCCAUGAUAGAUUUUUGAUGGCUAAGUAAUUAGUGGUGCAAUAAUUUCGAUGACAGUGACAUGAUUAUUCUGUUUAUGAAAAUGAUGUAUUUGUCCCACGUGAUCCUUCUCUCUCUUCACGGGUUGUUAAUAGAAAAUUGGGGUAGUCAAUCAUUUUGUCAGAAUGGGCAUAGGGUUAUACUAUUUGUCCCUAUUUGGUUUCUAGCCAGAAGCCGUAUUUAGGAAGAAAAAGAAAAUGGACGCCUCUGAUCCUCUUAUCAAAUCAAUUCCUGUUUGGAAUUUGCACCAGAUUUCACUCUGCAUAUUCCAAGCUCUCAAUUAGCGUACAACUAGUUAUUAUUUUUAUUAGUAGAUUAUAACAACCCAGCAUUCAACGUGCAUGGUCCAAUUGAGACAACUCAAGCUUGCAGCAUAUAUGUUGUUAAUGGUGUCCGUGGGUGUAGUAUGUCUUGGUUGAUUAAGUGUUUACAUUAAAUUAAUUAAAAAAAUAUGCUUUUUAUAGUAAAUUUAUUGUUUAGUCAUGGGUGAGAGCUAGGAUAUCUCAAACUAUUCGUCCUAACCUCUUGUAGUUAAAAACUUAUAUGGUAUAUAUAAAGUCAAAAUUAUGUUUUAUGUA